AUUGAACGCUGGCGGCAUGCCUUACACAUGCAAGUCGAACGGUAACAGGUCUUCGGAUGCUGGCGAGUGGCGAACGGGUGAGUAAUACAUCGGAACGUGCCCAGACGUGGGGGAUAGCCCGGCGAAAGCCGGAUUAAUACCGCAUAAGCUCUGAGGAGGAAAGCGGGGGACCGUAAGGCCUCGCGCGUUUGGAGCGGCCGAUGGCAGAUUAGGUAGGUGGUGGGGUAAAGGCUUACCAGGCCUACGAUCGGUAGCUGGUCUGAGAGGACGACCAGCAACACUGGGACUGAGACACGGCCCAGACUCCUACGGGAGGCAGCAGUGGGGAAUUUUGGACAAUGGGCGAAAGCCUGAUCCAGCAAUGCCGCGUGCAGGAUGAAGGCCUUCGGGUUGUAAACUGCUUUUGUACGGAACGAAAAGGCGCCUACUAAUACUGGGUGUUGAUGACGGUACCGUAAGAAUAAGCACCGGCUAACUACGUGCCAGCAGCCGCCGUAACAC
rnacentral:rRNA from 1 species